UGGGGAAUAUUGCACAAUGGGCGCAAGCCUGAUGCAGCCAUGCCGCGUGUAUGAAGAAGGCCUUCGGGUUGUAAAGUACUUUCAGCGGGGAGGAAGGCGAUAAGGUUAAUAACCUUGUCGGUUGACGUUACCCGCAGAAGAAGCACCGGCUAACUCCGUGCCAGCAGCCGCGGUAAUACGGAGGGUGCAAGAGUUAAUCGGAAUUACUGGGCGUAAAGCGCACGCAGGCGGUCUGUCAAGUCGGAUGUGAAAUCCCCGGGCUCAACCUGGGAACUGCAUUCGAAACUGGCAGGCUAGAGUCUUGUAGAGGGGGGUAGAAUUCCAGGUGUAGCGGUGAAAUGCGUAGAGAUCUGGAGGAAUACCGGUGGCGAAGGCGGCCCCCUGGACAAAGACUGACGCUCAGGUGCGAAAGCGUGGGGAGCAAACA
rnacentral:rRNA from 1 species